AGUGAACGCUGGCGGUAGGCCUAACACAUGCAAGUCGAACGGCAGCACAGUAAGAGCUUGCUCUUACGGGUGGCGAGUGGCGGACGGGUGAGGAAUACAUCGGAAUCUACUUUUUCGUGGGGGAUAACGUAGGGAAACUUACGCUAAUACCGCAUACGACCUACGGGUGAAAGCAGGGGAUCUUCGGACCUUGCGCGAUUGAAUGAGCCGAUGUCGGAUUAGCUAGUUGGCGGGGUAAAGGCCCACCAAGGCGACGAUCCGUAGCUGGCCUGAGAGGAUGAUCAGACACACUGGAACUGAGACACGGUCCAGACUCCUACGGGAGGCAGCAGUGGGGAAUAUUGGACAAUGGGCGCAAGCCUGAUCCAGCCAUACCGCGUGGGUGAGGAAGGCCUUCGGGUUGUAAAGCCCUUUUGUUGGGAAAGAAAAGCAGCAGGUUAAUACCCCGCUGUUCUGACGGUACCCAAAGAAUAAGCACCGGCUAACUUCGUG
rnacentral:rRNA from 1 species